rnacentral:misc_RNA from 1 species
GAACAUGCCCUGGAGUUCGCGACGGAAGAUGAAAUGGCAAACAAAUCCGCCAAGACUUAUGAAGACCGGGACUAGCGAGACCCAAGCUAAGAAAUGGCCUAAUCGGUCGCCCUUUUGGUACCGGACAUGGGUGAGAGUGAUGGCCUUGAGUGGAGGAUGGGUCAUGGUGGUGGUGAUAAUUGUGAAAGUGCAGAGUGGUGACUGAUCUGUGAGGAUAUUGUCUUCAGUAAUCGAUUAUCCAGAAACCGUUGAAGUAGAAAGUUGGAAAGGGGAGAGAAAAGCGA